rnacentral:rRNA from 1 species
AUUGAACGCUGGCGGCAUGCUUUACACAUGCAAGUCGAACGGUAACAGGUCUUCGGAUGCUGACGAGUGGCGAACGGGUGAGUAAUACAUCGGAACGUGCCUAGUAGUGGGGGAUAACUACUCGAAAGAGUAGCUAAUACCGCAUGAGAUCUACGGAUGAAAGCAGGGGACCUUCGGGCCUUGUGCUACUAGAGCGGCUGAUGGCAGAUUAGGUAGUUGGUGGGGUAAAGGCUUACCAAGCCUGCGAUCUGUAGCUGGUCUGAGAGGACGACCAGCCACACUGGGACUGAGACACGGCCCAGACUCCUACGGGAGGCUGCAGUGGGGAAUUUUGGACAAUGGGCGAAAGCCUGAUCCAGCAAUGCCGCGUGCAGGAUGAAGGCCCUCGGGUUGUAAACUGCUUUUGUACGGAACGAAAAGCCUGGGGCUAAUAUCCCCGGGUCAUGACGGUACCGUAAGAAUAAGCACCGGCUAACUACGUG